rnacentral:tRNA from 1 species
GCCCCCGUGGCCAAGCUGGUUAAGGCCUCAUGCUUAUAACGUGAAAAUCGCGAGUUCGAUCCUCGCCGGGAGCA